UGAAGAACGUAGUGAAAUGCGAUAAGUAAUGUGAAUUGCAGAAUUCAGUGAAUCAUCGAGUCUUUGAACGCACAUUGCGCCCCCUGGUAUUCCGGGGGGCAUGCCUGUCCGAGCGUCAUUGCUGCCCUCAAGCACGGCUUGUGUGUUGGGCCGUCGUCCCCCUCCUAGGGGACGGGCCCGAAAGGCAGCGGCGGCACCGCGUCCGGUCCUCGAGCGUAUGGGGCUUCGUCACCCGCUCCGUAGGCCCGGCCGGCGCUUGCCGACGACCAUCAAUCUCUUUCUCCAGGUUGACCUCGGAUCAGGUAGGGAUACCCGCUGAACUUAAGCAUAUCAAUAAGCGGAGGA
rnacentral:misc_RNA from 1 species